GAUUUUAUGAUGAAGUAGUUUCGGAUGUAAAAUGCCUUUUGGGGCUAAUGUCCGAGAGCGCAAAAGAGAUGUGGACAUCUCCGUUGCCUUCCUUCUGACCCAAGAU
rnacentral:snoRNA from 1 species